rnacentral:rRNA from 1 species
UACGUAGGGCGCAAGCGUUGUCCGGAAUUAUUGGGCGUAAAGAGCUCGUAGGCGGUUUGUCGCGUCUGUCGUGAAAGCUUGGGGCUUAACCCCAAGUCUGCGGUGGAUACGGGCAGACUAGAGGCAGGUAGGGGAGAACGGAAUUCCCGGUGUAGCGGUGAAAUGCGCAGAUAUCGGGAGGAACACCAGUGGCGAAGGCGACUACCUGGCCUGUUUCUUGACGCUGAGGCGCGAAAGCUAGGGGAGCAAACAGG